rnacentral:ncRNA from 1 species
AAAAAGGUUGUGACGGAGAAAAAACUCCACAUCUUCUCUGCAGAGAUCCGGCGUUUGCUGAAAGCCGGAGUGAAGACUGGAACAUAACUCACUCCUGAACUGAAAGGGUGAACACAGAAGUAGCUCUUUACGGCAUGUGCAUACGUUACAAUGCACGGGAUUAGGGAAUUUCCCCGAUCUGACAGAGGCUCCCUAUAGGGGGCGAACCAGGAUGGUACCACGGUAUAUCACCCGUUCCUGGG